GAUGAACGCUAGCUACAGGCUUAACACAUGCAAGUCGAGGGGCGGCAUUUCAGUUUGCUUGCAAACUGGAGAUGGCGACCGGCGCACGGGUGAGUAACACGUAUCCAACCUGCCGAUAACUCGGGGAUAGCCUUUCGAAAGAAAGAUUAAUACCCGAUGGUAUAAUCAGACCGCAUGGUCUUGUUAUUAAAGAAUUUCGGUUAUCGAUGGGGAUGCGUUCCAUUAGGCAGUUGGUGAGGUAACGGCUCACCAAACCUUCGAUGGAUAGGGGUUCUGAGAGGAAGGUCCCCCACAUUGGAACUGAGACACGGUCCAAACUCCUACGGGAGGCAGCAGUGAGGAAUAUUGGUCAAUGGGCGCAGGCCUGAACCAGCCAAGUAGCGUGAAGGAUGACUGCCCUAUGGGUUGUAAACUUCUUUUAUAUGGGAAUAAAGUUUUCCACGUGUGGAAUUUUGUAUGUACCAUAUGAAUAAGGAUCGGCUAACUCCGUGCCAGCAGCCGCGGUAAUACGGAGGAUCCGAGCGUUAUCCGGAUUUAUUGGGUUUAAAGGGAGCGUAGGUGGACAGUUAAGUCAGUUGUGAAAGUUUGCGGCUCAACCGUAAAAUUGCAGUUGAUACUGGCUGUCUUGAGUACAGUAGAGGUGGGCGGAAUUCGUGGUGUAGCGGUGAAAUGCUUAGAUAUCACGAAGAACUCCGAUUGCGAAGGCAGCUCACUGGACUGCAACUGACACUGAUGCUCGAAAGUGUGGGUAUCAAACAGGAUUAGAUACCCUGGUAGUCCACACAGUAAACGAUGAAUACUCGCUGUUUGCGAUAUACAGUAAGCGGCCAAGCGAAAGCAUUAAGUAUUCCACCUGGGGAGUACGCCGGCAACGGUGAAACUCAAAGGAAUUGACGGGGGCCCGCACAAGCGGAGGAACAUGUGGUUUAAUUCGAUGAUACGCGAGGAACCUUACCCGGGCUUAAAUUGCAUUUGAAUAUAUUGGAAACAGUAUAGCCGUAAGGCAAAUGUGAAGGUGCUGCAUGGUUGUCGUCAGCUCGUGCCGUGAGGUGUCGGCUUAAGUGCCAUAACGAGCGCAACCCUUAUCUUUAGUUACUAACAGGUCAUGCUGAGGACUCUAGAGAGACUGCCGUCGUAAGAUGUGAGGAAGGUGGGGAUGACGUCAAAUCAGCACGGCCCUUACGUCCGGGGCUACACACGUGUUACAAUGGGGGGUACAGAAGGCAGCUACCUGGUGACAGGAUGCUAAUCCCAAAAGCCUCUCUCAGUUCGGAUCGAAGUCUGCAACCCGACUUCGUGAAGCUGGAUUCGCUAGUAAUCGCGCAUCAGCCAUGGCGCGGUGAAUACGUUCCCGGGCCU
rnacentral:rRNA from 1 species